ensembl:lncRNA
GCUCAAUGUUGUUCUAUAAAGUGUUCUAUUCCGCUUCCUGCCCCAGGGUUGCCCGUGCAUUUGUUUUUUAAAUGGGAAAUCCAUCUAUAACAGUAACAUUUCUUUUGAAAUAUGUCUUUUGAAAUAUGUCUUUGUAUAGAAAUAUAGGUCUUUGUUGAACUGAAUUACUAUUUUUUUUUAUAGAUAAAUUCAGAAUGCUGCUACGAGUUCAGUUUGGGGGAGAGCACAAAUACAUUAAGCUGUCUGAGCUGACAUUUGAUACUUUUUUGAAAGAAGGUGCCUCGCAAUCAUCACCAUGCUCCGUAACAUCUGACGACACUGUCAUUCUAAACUUCUCGAUGUGUGACGAUGAAGAGGCAUCUCCUGUUGGAGCAAGUCAACCCAAAAGCCAUGUCGCAAAAGCGUUGAUUGGAAAAAUCCUGACAUCAAGGCCUGGUGGUGAACGCAUCAUGCAAGAGUAUGGAAAAACCAAAUCUUUGACAGAUGCCACUAGAAGACAGAUGAUGAACAUAUUUGCUGCUGAGAUGACAGAAACACAUGGGACAUCGCCCCCCAAAAGUGUCAGAGUGAUGUAUGCACAGGGGAUAGUUGCUUUGUUUCCCUAUCUGGAAGACCCAUUUUCACAACAUGGAUAUGAACAUUACUACGAUCCAGAGAGUGGUUCUGGAUACCUUGCAUGGCGAUUGAAGACCAUUCAAAGAAAAAGUUCAGAGGAAAGAUGUGGCUCAGUUAGCAGAUCUCCCAAAGGUAAGUUCAUUAUCUGUUACUAAUGAAAUUGAGUUGGAGAUAGGAGUCUACAAAUUUGUGUUUUGUCUUAAGUUGGUGGGCCAAGCCAUGGUCGACAACCAUUCAUAAGUGACAAAGUGCAAUCUGAUGAGGAUGUGGAAGCAGCAAUUGCAGUUUUGAGACACUCUGCUGAGGAAGACACUAUCCGUGAGAAGAUGAAAACUACCUUCAUUUAUCGCCAAGCAAUGGUCAAUGAUAAAAGUAAAGCAGCAGAUGUCUUCUUGGUCUUUCCACGGUUUCUGGACACACCAGGACUGGUAUGUCUAAAUUCACUGAAUCAUCAAAAUCAUCAAUGCAGUAUCUGUUAUCACUCAUCAUUGCUCUCUAUGUAUGUUGUAUUGCAGAUAGAACAAGAUUUCAGACUCCUGUUUGGUGAGGCCACAGCCAACACAUUUUUGGAGAGGUGGCCAACCACUUUCAGAGCAAGAGUCAUAAAAGAAAGCCAUGGACUGGUGCCUACCACAGAGCUCUUGGAUUUAAUGCGCAAUGCUGAGUCAACCGCUGAAGUUGAGAACGGUAUGAAUAGUACUGUUUUCACUUGGUAUUGUUGCUUAUGUAAGUGGACAAUAUACUGUACAUUUUGGUUAUGGUGCCAGUUGUCAAUUUAACAUAAUUGUGGCAUAAUAUUGACCUAAUGUUGAUAUACUGAUCUGUAGGGUGGGACAGUGACAUGUCUGCGAUUUUGCUGCUGCUACAUCUGCUACCACCAUCUGCGCAAGGUCGAAAAAGGCCAGGAAAGAUAUCUGCAUCUCAAGCUGUAGAUCAGCUCAUCAGAUUUCAAAAGGCUGGAACCAGCGUGCAACAACAUCUGGACAACAUCACCCAAAGCAGUCAGCCUUAUCUUCUUGCGCAGGGAUCCACCAGAAGCAGCAUUCACUCAUACUUCAUUGUGAUCGACAAGCACGCACUUCCAUGCAAGGCAACAGGGUCAGUUGGAGCCUUUGAUGAACUCAUUAAAGCCCAUUACGUCUUUGGUACGUCAUACAGUUUUUCCCUGAGCAGCUUUUUCACUUUUGUGCAAACAAACAUCUAUAAUAUUGACAUGGGCGAAACAAAGGAAACUCCCAGGAUUGCUGAAUUGCGAGCAAGAAUGUUGCAUUGAGUGAAUAACUUUUGAGACCGAACCAUGAGGUGUUUUUUUUUUUUUUUUUGCAAAAGUGACCAUGGAAGUCCAAGCGGCCUUGUUAAGCACUUAAGUUAAGUUUUUACAGUAGCUUUUCAAGAACAUUUCCAUGCAUAUGAAGUGGCAAGGUCAAAGCAAGAUUUUGUUGUUUUUCAUGUCGACAACCUGAUUUAUCCUAGGCCUUUGGAUAUACAAAUGUCUUAUGGAUUUAAUGACAAAGCUCUGUUUGUUGUCCCAUAUUGCUUUCUUUGGUGAGGUGUUUCAUAAACCAUUAUCAUAUCAUUGUCAUUAUAGUUAAGGUAUGUAUGUGUCGCGAAGCGAGAGCAUGGUCACCCCACCUGGACUUGAACCGGGGUCUACAGGUUGCCAAACAUGCACUCUGACCACAAUGCCAAAGAGCCAGGCUCAUUGGUAUGGCAGUCAGAGCACAAACUCAUCUGUAGUGACGAUCACACGGUCACACUGCCCUCACUUUCGGGAAGCGCACCCUUGCGCUUCAUGCACAAAGGCAUUCCUCGCGCAUCCACCAACUGUACUUCUCCCAUCCAGAGCGCCCCAGACACAAGUGCUUCACCAUCUAUGGGGUCUGUCACACAGGGGUCAACCUACCUGGGGGUCCCUCAUACAGUUUUAUCGAGAGGUCAUUGGAGGCGUGCCUGUAAAACUGUAUGACCCCCAAGUAGGUUGAACCCUGUGUGAGGGACCCCAUGGGUGAAGCACUUGUGUGUGUGUGGAGCGCUCUGGAUGGGAGAAGUACGGUUGG